rnacentral:rRNA from 1 species
UACGGAGGAUCCGAGCGUUAUCCGGAUUUAUUGGGUUUAAAGGGUGCGCAGGCGGGGGAUUAAGUCGGCGGUGAAAUUUUGCAGCUCAACUGUAAAAGUGCCCUCGAAACUGGUUUCCUUGAGUGUAGAUGAAGUAGGCGGAAUUUGUGGUGUAGCGGUGAAAUGCUUAGAUAUCACGAGGAACUCCGAUUGCGCAGGCAGCUUACUAAACUACUACUGACGCUCAGGCACGAAGGCGUGGGGAUCAAACAGGAUUAGAUACCCCUGUAGUCCCU